ACCGGCCGCGCGGGAGAGCGUGAGGGCAGGGCAACCGGCGCCUCACCACCGAAGGAGCAACCGCCCCGGAAACUCUCAGGUAAAUGGACCGCGCAGGCUGG
rnacentral:ncRNA from 2 species